rnacentral:tRNA from 1 species
GCAGUGGUGGUUCAGUGGUAGAAUUCUUGCCCUCUAUGCUGGAGACCUCGAUUUGAUUCCUGGCCAAUGCA